CGUACACUCCUGCGGGAGGCAGCAGUGGGGAAUUUUGGACAAUGGGCGAAAGCCUGAUCCAGCCAUGCCGCGUGCAGGAUGAAGGCCUUCGGGUUGUAAACUGCUUUUGUACGGAACGAAACGGCCUUUUCUAAUAAAGAGGGCUAAUGACGGUACCGUAAGAAUAAGCACCGGCUAACUACGUGCCAGCAGCCGCGGUAAUACGUAGGGUGCAAGCGUUAAUCGGAAUUACUGGGCGUAAAGCGUGCGCAGGCGGUUAUGUAAGACAGUUGUGAAAUCCCCGGGCUCAACCUGGGAACUGCAUCUGUGACUGCAUAGCUAGAGUACGGUAGAGGGGGAUGGAAUUCCGCGUGUAGCAGUGAAAUGCGUAGAUAUGCGGAGGAACACCGAUGGCGAAGGCAAUCCCCUGGACCUGUACUGACGCUCAUGCACGAAAGCGUGGGGAGCAAACAGGAUUAGAAACCCUGGUAGUCCCAUGAU
rnacentral:rRNA from 1 species